GACGAACGCUGGCGGCGUGCUUAACACAUGCAAGUCGAACGGAAAGGCCCUUCGGGGUACUCGAGUGGCGAACGGGUGAGUAACACGUGGGUGAUCUGCCCUGCACUUUGGGAUAAGCCUGGGAAACUGGGUCUAAUACCGAAUAUGAUCAUCGGCUUCAUGGUCGGUGGUGGAAAGCUUUUGCGGUGUGGGAUGGGCCCGCGGCCUAUCAGCUUGUUGGUGGGGUAAUGGCCUACCAAGGCGACGACGGGUAGCCGGCCUGAGAGGGUGACCGGCCACACGGGGAAUGAGAUACGGCACAGACUACUCCGGGAGGCCGCAGUGGGGAAUAGUGCACAAUGGGCGGGAGCCUGAUGCAGCGACGCCGCGGGAGGGAUGACGGCCUUCGGGUUGUAAACCUCAUUCAGCACAGACGACGCGCAAGGGACGGUAUGUGCAGAAGAAAGACCGGCCAACUACGUG
rnacentral:rRNA from 1 species